GUGUCAGCAGCCGCGGUAAUACGGAGGGUGCAAGCGUUAUCCGGAUUUACUGGGUUUAAAGGGUGCGUAGGUGGGUAGGAAAGUCAGUGGUGAAAUCUUCGGGCUUAACCCGGAAACUGCCAUUGAUACUAUUUAUCUUGAAUACUCUGGAGGUAAGCGGAAUAUGUCAUGUAGCGGUGAAGUGCUUAGAUAUGACAUAGAACACCAAUUGCGAAGGCAGCUUACUACAUAGUUAUUGACACUGAGGCACGAAAGCGUGGGGAUCAAACAGGAUUAGAUACCCUGGUAGUCCACGCCCUAAACGAUGGAUACUCGACAUUAGCGAUACACUGUUAGUGUCUGAGCGAAAGCAUUAAGUAUCCCACCUGGGAAGUACGAUCGCAAGAUUGAA
rnacentral:rRNA from 1 species